UGGUGUCUGUUGUCCCAGCAGUGUCCCCUCUUAACUUCUUGAGAUCCCCCAGCCUCCUCUCUGGUGGGGUGAGGAGCUGAAAAAGCCCUGAUUCUGUAACCAUACAGGACUUUGCAAGGAGGCUGCAGCUCUGCGUGUUUCUGGCUGCGGGGAUUGCCCAAGAUCUCUUGCUGACUCUUGGUCACACAGUCUUUUAGUGUGCAGGAGAUGCCAGUUGUUGAGAAGUUGUGCUGCCAAGUGCUUUGUGUGGAGGGAUAGAAAGAUCCUGUACCUGUGAAAUCAGAAAUGAAGACUCUCAUUGCAAAGAAGGCCAGAAGCUGAUGAUUUCUCCUACCAGGAGAAAAGGUUCUGCUUUGUUAAUCACUGGAGAAUAAGAUGAGAAUGAUCAAGAAAUGUUUAUGACAAGAACAAUCUGAACUAGAAUUAAAAAAUGUCUCAAAAAAUUGGUUUGGGUUGACCUUGGCCAGAUUCUAGGCACCCAUUAAAGUCACUCUGAGCUGGGAGAG